AGUUUGAUUAUGGCUCAGAUUGAACGCUGGCGGCGUGCUUAACACAUGCAAGUCGCGCGUGAAAGGACUUCGGUCCGAGUAAAGCGGCGCACGGGUGAGUAACGCGUGGAUGAUCUACCCAUGAGUUAGGAAUAACGGCUGGAAACGGUCGCUAAUACCAAAUACGCUCCGAUUUCAACUUCGGGGGAAAGUGGCCUCUGCUUGCAAGCUACUGCUCAUGGAUGAGUCCGCGUCCCAUUAGCUAGUUGGUGGGGUAACGGCCCACCAAGGCGACGAUGGGUAGCCGGUCUGAGAGGAUGACCGGCCACACUGGGACUGGAACACGGCCCAGACUCCUACGGGAGGCAGCAGUGGGGAAUAUUGCGCAAUGGGCGAAAGCCUGACGCAGCGACGCCGCGUGAGGGGAAUGAAGGUCCUCGGAUCGUAAACCUCUGUCAGGAGGGAAGAACCGCCACGGUGCUAAUCAGCCGUGGUCUGACGGUACCUCCAAAGGAAGCACCGGCUAACUCCGUGCCAGCCGCCGC
rnacentral:rRNA from 1 species